rnacentral:lncRNA from 1 species
UGACUGAUUAAUGAAUUGUCCGUUAACUGCCAUUCCCUUAGAACCCUACACAUACUGUGAGUGUUCGAUAAUAGGUGCUUUAAUCCAUGACUGCUUUUCUCUGAAAUGAAAUGCCAAUGUGAUCUGAAGCAGAGCUUCUCAACAGCAGAAAUCAAAUAGUAGACAACAGCCUGCUCACCAAUGAGACUUAGAUCUGACCCUUCAGUUCAAGGUGCAAACUUACAUCCUUCCAAAAGAAACAACAGCAUGUCUGGUGGAAGAAAAUUUGAAUUUAAACUAGAAAUGGAUUUACCAUGAAACUAAUGAAGCUUAAGUUUCAAGGCCCCUUGCUUGAACUUGUAAGUGUUUUCAUGGCCAUCUGUUCCCGUAAUGUUUGUAGAAAUAUGAUAUUUUAACUGCAAAUG